CAGCCGCCGCGGUAAUACGAAGGGGGCUAGCGUUGCUCGGAAUCACUGGGCGUAAAGGGCGCGUAGGCGGCGUUUUAAGUCGGGGGUGAAAGCCUGUGGCUCAACCACAGAAUGGCCUUCGAUACUGGGACGCUUGAGUAUGGUAGAGGUUGGUGGAACUGCGAGUGUAGAGGUGAAAUUCGUAGAUAUUCGCAAGAACACCGGUGGCGAAGGCGGCCAACUGGACCAUUACUGACGCUGAGGCGCGAAAGCGUGGGGAGCAAACAGGAUUAGAGACCCUGUAGUCCCUGUCUCUUAUACA
rnacentral:rRNA from 1 species